CUACGGGCGGCUCCAGUGGGGAAUAUUGCACAAUGGAGGAAACUCUGAUGCAGCAACGCCGCGUGGAGGAUGGCACUUUUCGGAGCGUAAACUCCUUUUAUAUAGGAAGAAGAUGACGGUACUAUAUGAAUAAGCGCCGGCUAACUCCGUGCCAGCAGCCGCGGUAAUACGGAGGGCGCAAGCGUUACUCGGAAUCACUGGGCGUAAAGAGCGUGUAGGCGGAUUAAAAAGUCAGAAGUGAAAUCCUAUAGCUUAACUAUAGGACUGCUUCUGAAACUCUUAAUCUAGAAUAUGGGAGAGGUAGAUGGAAUUUCUGGUGUAGGGGUAAAAUCCGUAGAGAUCAGAAGGAAUACCGAUUGCGAAGGCGAUCUACUAGAACAUUAUUGACGCUGAGACGCGAAAGCGUGGGGAGCAAACAGGAUUAGAUACCCGCGUAGUC
rnacentral:rRNA from 1 species